CCUAGGGUCGCUCCAGUGGGGAAUAUUGCACAAUGGGGGAAACCCUGAUGCAGCCAUGCCGCGUGUGUGAAGAAGGCCUUCGGGUUGUAAAGCACUUUCAGUAGGGAGGAAGGUAGUGUAGUUAACACCUGCAUUAUUUGACGUUACCUACAGAAGAAGCACCGGCUAGCCUCCGUGCCAGCAGCCGCGGUAAUACGGAGGGUGCGAGCGUUAAUCGGAAUUACUGGGCGUAAAGCGCAUGCAGGCGGCCUGUUAAGUCAGAUGUGAAAGCCCGGGGCUUAACCUCGGAAUUGCAUUUGAAACUGGCAGGCUAGAGUCUUGUAGAGGGGGGUAGAAUUUCAGGUGUAGCGGUGAAAUGCGUAGAGAUCUGAAGGAAUACCAGUGGCGAAGGCGGCCCCCUGGACAAAGACUGACGCUCAGAUGCGAAAGCGUGGGGAGCAAACAGGAUUAGAUACCCGCGUAGUC
rnacentral:rRNA from 1 species